GCUUUGGACUUAAUAGCUUCAAUGCACCCAAUGUCAUUAGAUCUCAGAAACUAGGCAAAGCCAAGGCCAGGCAGUACUUGGAUGGUAGAACUCCACAGAAUGCAGGGUGUUGAAGGUG
rnacentral:rRNA from 1 species